rnacentral:rRNA from 1 species
AGCGAACGCUGGCGGCGUGCCUAACACAUGCAAGUCGAACGUGAAAAGGGAAACCUGAGUAAAGUGGCGUACGGGUGAGUAACGCGUAGGUAAUCUACCCCAGAAUCUGGAAUAACCUGCCGAAAGGCGGGCUAAUACUGGAUAGAGCGAGGGAACUCGUAAGAGAGUUUUUCGGGAAAGGGAGCCCGCAAGGGCCUUCGUUCUGGGAUGAGCCUGCGUCUCAUUAGCUAGUUGGUAAGGUAACGGCUUACCAAGGCGAUGAUGAGUAGCUGGUCUGAGAGGAUGAUCAGCCAAACUGGAACUGAAACACGGUCCAGACUCCUACGGGAGGCAGCAGUGGGGAAUCUUGCGCAAUGGACGAAAGUCUGACGCAGCCACGCCGCGUGAGUGAAGAAGGCCUUCGGGUUGUAAAGCUCUGUCGGAUGGGACGAACAUCUUCAUAGUGAAUAGCUAUGAGGACUGACGGUACCAUCAAAGGAAGCACCGGCUAACUCCGUG